UUGCACGCUGGCGGCAUGCUUUACACCUGCCAGUCGAACGGCAGCGCGGGCUUCGGCCUGGCGGCGAGUGGCGAACGGGUGAGUAAUGCAUCGGAACGUGCCCAGUAGUGGGGGAUAGCCCGGCGAAAGCCGGAUUAAUACCGCAUACGACCUGAGGGUGAAAGCGGGGGACCGAAAGGCCUCGCGCUAUUGGAGCGGCCGAUGUCGGAUUAGCUAGUUGGUGGGGCAAAGGCUUACCAAGGCGACGAUCCGUAGCUGGUCUGAGAGGACGACCAGCCACACUGGGACUGAGACACGGCCCAGACUCCUACGGGAGGCAGCAGUGGGGAAUUUUGGACAAUGGGGGCAACCCUGAUCCAGCCAUGCCGCGUGCGGGAAGAAGGCCUUCGGGUUGUAAACCGCUUUUGUUCGGGAAGAAAUCCUCUGGGCUAAUACCCCGGGGGGAUGACGGUACCGGAAGAAUAAGCACCGGCUAACUACGUG
rnacentral:rRNA from 1 species